AGUGAACGCUGGCGGUAGGCCUAACACAUGCAAGUCGAACGGCAGCACAGUAAGAGCUUGCUCUUACGGGUGGCGAGUGGCGGACGGGUGAGGAAUACAUCGGAAUCUACUUUUUCGUGGGGGAUACGUAGGGAAACUUACGCUAAUACCGCAUACGACCUACGGGUGAAAGCAGGGGAUCUUCGGACCUUGCGCGAUUGAAUGAGCCGAUGUCGGAUUAGCUAGUUGGCGGGGUAAAGGCCCACCAAGGCGACGAUCCGUAGCUGGUCUGAGAGGAUGAUAAGCAGCGUGGUAACGUAGCAGCGGUCCUGCGGCCUCCGGGAGGAACCAGAGUGGGAGGUUGGACAGGGGUCGCGAGUCUUACCGAGCGAGAGGACGUAAGAAAAAAAGGCCUUCGGUUCGUAAUGACCGUUUGUGGGAAAAAAAAAGCAGCCGCCUGAUACCCCGCUGGAGUGACGGUACCCAAAAAAUAAGCACCGGCUAACUUCGUG
rnacentral:rRNA from 1 species